AUUGAACGCUGGCGGCAGGCUUAACACAUGCAAGUCGAGCGGGGUGAUGGUGCUUGCACUAUCACUUAGCGGCGGACGGGUGAGUAAUGCUUAGGAAUCUGCCUAUUAGUGGGGGACAACAUCUCGAAAGGGAUGCUAAUACCGCAUACGUACUACGGGAGAAAGCAGGGGAUCACUUGUGACCUUGCGCUAAUAGAUGAGCCUAAGUCGGAUUAGCGAGUUGGUGGGGUAAAGGCCUACCAAGGCGACGAUCUGUAGCAGGUCUGAGAGGAUGAUCCGCCACACUGGGACUGAGACACGGCCCAGACUCCUACGGGAGGCAGCAGUGGGGAAUAUUGGACAAUGGGGGGAACCCUGAUCCAGCCAUGCCGCGUGUGUGAAGAAGGCCUUAUGGUUGUAAAGCACUUUAAGCGAGGAGGAGGCUCUUUUGGUUAAUACCCAAGAUGAGUGGACGUUACUCGCAGAAUAAGCACCGGCUAACUCUGUGCCAGCAGCCGCGGUAA
rnacentral:rRNA from 1 species